UGCCCAGCAACUCCUAUCCCUACCUCCUCGCGGUACUGGCCGGGGUACGAGUAACCUUAGGGAAGAUCGGGUAACCAACCCCCGGUGGGAACUUUGUUCGUAUGCUGACAGGGAAGG
rnacentral:ribozyme from 1 species